CACGUAAGGUGCGAGCGUUGUUCGGAAUUAUUGGGCGUAAAGGGCUUGUAGGCGGCCUGCCAAGUCUCACGUGAAAGACCAGGGCUCAACCCUGGGGACGCGAGAGAAACUGGCAAGCUGGAAUCUUUGAGGGGGUACUGGAAUUCCUGGUGUAGGGGUGAAAUCUGUUGAUAUCAGGAAGAACACCGGAGGCGAAGGCGAGUACCUGGCAAAAGAUUGACGCUGAUGAGCGAAAGCGUAGGUAGCAAACAGG
rnacentral:rRNA from 1 species